rnacentral:rRNA from 1 species
UACGAAGGGGGCUAGCGUUGCUCGGAAUCACUGGGCGUAAAGGGUGCGUAGGCGGGUCUUUUAAGUCAGGGGUGAAAUCCUGGAGCUCAACUCCAGAACUGCCUUUGAUACUGGCGAUCUCGAGUCCGGGAGAGGUGAGUGGAACUGCGAGUGUAGAGGUGAAAUUCGUAGAUAUUCGCAAGAACACCAGUGGCGAAGGCGGCUCACUGGCCCGGUACUGACGCUGAGGUGCGAAAGCGUGGGGAGCAAACAGG